CUGAAAAAAAGUUAGACAAUCCCUAACUUCUCAUUUUUCACUCAACGUAGCGCAGUUCCCUUUCCCUUUCCCCUUCCCUCUCCCUGUCGCGAUGGUGCCAUAGGUGGUGGUCGUCGGUGGUUCUUUGGCGGUGGUGGUCGACGUUGGGUCGGCCGUUCGGUGGUGGUCGACGUUGGGUCGGCCGUUCGGUGGUGGUCGAGCUGAGGAAAAACACAAUCCCCAACCAACCUAGUCCUCUUCUCAUUUUCAAUUUCGACCCACGCAGCGCAGUUCCAUUCCCUCUCAAUCGUGUCCGUCGCGGUGGUGCCCACAGGUGGUGGUCGUUGGUCGUUCUUUGGCGGCGGUGGUCGACGUUGGUGGCGGCCGUUCGGUGGUGGUCGAGUCAAGAGAAAACGCAAUCCCUAACCUAAUUCUCUUCUCAUUUUCAUUUUCGACCCACUCGCACUUCCCUUCCCUCUCACUCGUGUUGGUUGCGGUGGUGCCCAGAGGUGGUGGUCGUCGGUCGUUCUUUGGCAACGGUGGUCGUCGUUGGUACCGGCCGUUCGGUGGUGGUCGAGCCGACGCUUCUUUUGCUCGUGCUGCUCCUGUGCCUAGCCACUCUCACUCGGUAUUGCGUCGUCUGCGGUGGACGUUCGGUGGUGCGUUCAAUAAUCUGCGGUGGACGUUGGUGCCCACUCCAUGGUGGUCGUUCAGUAAUCUCGACAAUGAUGGUGGUUCAGUGGCAACGGUGGUGGACAUUGGUGCCCAUUCCGUGGUGUUUGAUGUUGGUCUGAGGCGUGCGUGCUCUCCUUGGUUAAUUGCAACAAUAGCUUUUCUCCUGGAUUACAAGACAAAGGUGGAGAGGAUCCUAACUUGACAUAGAGAAAGGCACUGUUAAUACCCGGCGAGGCUAUAAUACUGAGAGAAACCUCUUUCAAUUGGUAGAGAAGAUAGGCAUGUCUCACUUUUUCUAUUUCUUUUUUCAAGUUUUGGUGGUUGUGAACUUUUUAUGUAGUUUUUUUAUUGAUGAGAAUGUUUAAUUUAAGCUUGAAUUACUGGUAA